AGUGAACGCUGGCGGUAGGCCUAACACAUGCAAGUCGAACGGCAGCACAGUAAGAGCUUGCUCUUACGGGUGGCGAGUGGCGGACGGGUGAGGAAUACAUCGGAAUCUACUUUUUCGUGGGGGAUAACGUAGGGAAGCUUACGUUAAUACCGCAUACGACCUACGGGUGAAAGCAGGGGAUCUUCGGACCUUGCGCGAUUGAAUGAGCCGAUGUCGGAUUAGCUAGUUGGCGGGGUAAAGGCCCACCAAGGCGACGAUCCGUAGCUGGUCUGAGAGGAUGAUCAGCCACACUGGAACUGAGACACGGUCCAGACUCCUACGGGAGGCAGCAGUGGGGAAUAUUGGACAAUGGGCGCAAGCCUGAUCCAGCCAUACCGCGUGGGUGAAGAAGGCCUUCGGGUUGUAAAGCCCUUUUGUUGGGAAAGAAAAGCAGCAGGUUAAUACCCCGCUGUUCUGACGGUACCCAAAGAAUAAGCACCGGCUAACUUCGUG
rnacentral:rRNA from 1 species